CUAUACUGCAGUCGUACGCUUCUUUUUCCACCGGAGCUUGCUCCACCGGAAAAAGAAGAGUGGCGAACGGGUGAGUAACACGUGGGUAACCUGCCCAUCAGAAGGGGAUAACACUUGGAAACAGGUGCUAAUACCGUAUAACAAUCGAAACCGCAUGGUUUUGAUUUGAAAGGCGCUUUCGGGUGUCGCUGAUGGAUGGACCCGCGGUGCAUUAGCUAGUUGGUGAGGUAACGGCUCACCAAGGCCACGAUGCAUAGCCGACCUGAGAGGGUGAUCGGCCACAUUGGGACUGAGACACGGCCCAAACUCCUACGGGAGGCAGCAGUAGGGAAUCUUCGGCAAUGGACGAAAGUCUGACCGAGCAACGCCGCGUGAGUGAAGAAGGUUUUCGGAUCGUAAAACUCUGUUGUUAGAGAAGAACAAGGAUGAGAGUAACUGUUCAUCCCUUGACGGUAUCUAACCAGAAAGCCACGGCUAACUACGUGCCAGCAGCCGCGGUAAUACGUAGGUGGCAAGCGUUGUCCGGAUUUAUUGGGCGUAAAGCGAGCGCAGGCGGUUUCUUAAGUCUGAUGUGAAAGCCCCCGGCUCAACCGGGGAGGGUCAUUGGAAACUGGGAGACUUGAGUGCAGAAGAGGAGAGUGGAAUUCCAUGUGUAGCGGUGAAAUGCGUAGAUAUAUGGAGGAACACCAGUGGCGAAGGCGGCUCUCUGGUCUGUAACUGACGCUGAGGCUCGAAAGCGUGGGGAGCA
rnacentral:rRNA from 1 species